rnacentral:rRNA from 1 species
AGUGAACGCUGGCGGUAGGCCUAACACAUGCCAGUCGAACGGCAGCACAGUAAGAGCUUGCUCUUACGGGUGGCGAGUGGCGGACGGGUGAGGAAUACAUCGGAAUCUACUUUUUCGUGGGGGAUAACGUAGGGAAACUUACGCUAAUACCGCAUACGACCUACGGGUGAAAGCAGGGGAUCUUCGGACCUUGCGCGAUUGAAUGAGCCGAUGUCGGAUUAGCUAGUUGUCGGGGUAAAGGCCCACCAAGGCGACGAUCCGUAGCUGGUCUGAGAGGAUGAUCAGCAACACUGGAACUGAGACACGGUCCAGACUCCUACGGGAGGCAGCAGUGGGGAAUAUUGGACAAUGGGCGCAAGCCUGAUCCAGCCAUACCGCGUGGGUGAAGAAGGCCUUCGGGUUGUAAAGCCCUUUUGUUGGGAAAGAAAAGCAGCAGGUUAAUACCCCGCUGUUCUGACGGUACCCAAAGAAUAAGCACCGGCUAACUUCGUG